rnacentral:lncRNA from 1 species
CUGCCUUGUUCUCUGUUGGAGGUGAAUUUCGGUGGAACCUUCAGCCAUGAAGCUCCUUCACCUUGUCUUUGCAUUUCUCUGUCUGAUGAUGCCGGUUGUUCCAGGGUUUUCUGAAAUACUUAGCCGCGAGCAAUGCUUCAAAGCCGGAGGGCGAUGUGUAGAGCGCAGAUGUCAAUACAGUUUCAUGCAGAUUGGACUCUGUUCAAGGAAAGACGCUUGUUGCAGGGGAUAAAGGAUGAAAAUGGGACCACGCCGCAUCACUGACAUCCUCAGCUGUGAAAUUCCACAGGAUUAUAAAUUUGGAAAUCUUACAGUGGAGACAGAUGCGAUUAUCUGAUCCCUAAAUAAAAGGA